AUGUCUUCCUCCUCUUCCUCCCACGCCAUGGCCAUGCCCUCCCUCGCCUCCCUCGGCCACACCAUCACCGAAAAGCUUACCCGCGAAAAUUUUCUGGUGUGGAAGGCUCAAGUGCUCCCGCAUGUCAAGGCCGCGGCGAUGAGGGGCUAUCUUGACGGCUCGAUCAAGGAGCCCGCCGCUGUCAUCGUCACCGAGAAGGACAACGCUGGGAAGAAGGAGAUCACCGAGGCGCCCAACCCAGAACACGCGAUCUGGGUCACUCAAGAUCAGCAGGUGCUUACCUUCUUGCUCGCCUCUCUAUCCCGCGAGGUUUUGAUGCAGGUGUCCAACCACACCACCGCCGCGGGAGUCUGGCAAGCCCUGGUGGAAAGCUUUUCUUCCCAGUCCCGGGCGCGCCAGAUACAACUCCGUUCUGCGAUCGGGAACGCACGUAAGGGCGACCUCUCCGCUGCCGCCUACUUCACCAAGAUGAAGGGGCUCGCCGACGAGCUCGCCGCUGCAGGAAAACCGCUUGAUGAAGACGACAUCGUUUCGCACAUCAUGGAGGGUCUCAUGCAUGAGCCCGACUACAGCGGCUUCGUCACCGCCAUCUCCACGCGCGCCAUCACCGAUCAACCGAUCGGCCUCAGCGAGCUCUUCUCACUACUGCUCGCCGCUGAGUCUCGGAUCGCCGCCCAGCACCUCGCCUACACCGCCCACCACUCCGUCAACCUCGCCGCCAAGGGUGGUCGAGGUGGCUACGGCGGCAGACGCGGCGGACAGGGUGGUGGACGCGGCGGCUACAACGGGGGCAACUACAACGACAACUCGGGCGGCGGUGCGCCGCGCCAGCAAGGUGGUGACCGUUGUGAGCGCGGUGACCGCGAGCGCUGCCAAAUCUGCAAGGAGGACGGCCACGCUGCGUGGCGCUGCAAGAAACGCUACGACAAAGGCUACAACAACAACGUACGCAACCCCGCAGGUGGCGGUGGUGGCGGCAGACGCGGCGGCGGUGGGCGCGGUGGCGGCGGCAGCAGCGGCAAUUCUCGCUCCGCCAACUCUGCCCACUCCUAUGGUGUAGAUACUAAUUGGUAUCUUGACACCGGUGCCACUGAUCACAUCACCGGGGAGUUGGAAAAACUAGCUGUUCGAGAUCGCUACACCGGCACCGACCAAAUCCACACAGCAAGUGGGCAAGGCUACCCGGAGAAUUAUCCUUCAAAACAAUAG
rnacentral:rRNA from 1 species